CCUACGGGAGGCAGCAGUGAGGAAUAUUGGUCAAUGGCCGUAAGGCUGAACCAGCCAAGUCGCGUGAAGGAAGAAGGAUCUAUGGUUUGUAAAUUUCUUUUAUAGGGGAAUAAAGGUAUCCAUGUGUGGAUAUUUGCAUGUACCCUAUGAAUAAGCAUCGGCUAACUCCGUGCCAGCAGCCGCGGUAAUACGGAGGAUGGGAGCGUUAACCGGAUUUAUUGGGUUUAAAGGGUGCGUAGGCGGUGAGGUAAGUUAGCGGGGAAAUGCCCCCGGUCAACGGGGUGAAGUGCCAUUGAUACUGCCUUGCUAGAGUGCGGAUGCGGUGGGAGGAAUGUGUGGUGUAGCGGUGAAAUGCGUAGAGAUCACGCAGAACACCGAUUGCGAAGGCGUCUCCCGAGACCGCGAUUGACGCUGAUGCGCGAAAGCGUGGGUAUCAAACAGGAUUAGAUACCCUUGUAGUC
rnacentral:rRNA from 1 species